rnacentral:rRNA from 1 species
UACAGAGGUCCCAAGCGUUGUUCGGAUUCAUUGGGCGUAAAGGGUGCGUAGGCGGCAUGGUCAGUCUGAUGUGAAAUACCGGGGCUCAACCCUGGAACUGCAUUGGAUACUGCCAUGCUAGAGAACUGGAGAGGAGACUGGAAUUUACGGUGUAGCAGUGAAAUGCGUAGAGAUCGUAAGGAAGACCAGUGGCGAAGGCGAGUCUCUGGACAGUUACUGACGCUGAGGCACGAAGGCCAGGGGAGCAAACGAG